UUUGGAGUAGCUCAACGGUAGAGCAUCCCCUGUCCAGGGGAUGGUUGCGGGGCAAAUCCUGUCUCCCGCU
rnacentral:tRNA from 1 species